CCUUUGUACACACCGCCCGUCGCUACUACCGAUUGAAUGGCUUAGUGAGGCCUUCGGAUUGGCUUCGAGGAGCCGGCAACGGCACUUCUUAGCUGAGAAGUUGGUCAAACUUGGUCAUUUAGAGG
rnacentral:rRNA from 1 species